rnacentral:rRNA from 1 species
AGCUACAGGCUUAACACAUGCAAGUCGAGGGGCAGCAUUUUAGUUUGCUUGCAAACUGAAGAUGGCGACCGGCGCACGGGUGAGUAACACGUAUCCAACCUGCCGAUAACUCCGGAAUAGCCUUUCGAAAGAAAGAUUAAUACCGGAUAGCAUACGAAUAUCGCAUGAUAUUUUUAUUAAAGAAUUUCGGUUAUCGAUGGGGAUGCGUUCCAUUAGUUUGUUGGCGGGGUAACGGCCCACCAAGACUACGAUGGAUAGGGGUUCUGAGAGGAAGGUCCCCCACGUUGGAACUGAGACACGGUCCAAACUCCUACGGGAGGCAGCAGUGAGGAAUAUUGGUCAAUGGGCGAGAGCCUGAACCAGCCAAGUAGCGUGAAGGAUGAAGGCUCUAUGGGUCGUAAACUUCUUUUAUAUGGGAAUAAAGUUUUCCACGUGUGGAAUUUUGUAUGUACCAUAUGAAUAAGGAUCGGCUAACUCCGUGCCAGCAGCCGCGGUAAUACGGAGGAUCCGAGCGUUAUCCGGAUUUAUUGGGUUUAAAGGGAGCGUAGGUGGAUUGUUAAGUCAGUUGUGAAAGUUUGCGGCUCAACCGUAAAAUUGCAGUUGAAACUGGCAGUCUUGAGUACAGUAGAGGUGGGCGGAAUUCGUGGUGUAGCGGUGAAAUGCUUAGAUAUCACGAAGAACUCCGAUUGCGAAGGCAGCUCA